rnacentral:rRNA from 1 species
UACAGAGGGUGCAAGCGUUGUUCGGAAUUAUUGGGCGUAAAGCGCGUGUAGGCGGCUCAGCAAGUCAGGUGUGAAAGCCCUCGGCUUAACCGAGGAAGUGCGCCUGAAACUACUGAGCUUGAGUACCGGAGAGGGCGGUGGAAUUCCCGGUGUAGAGGUGAAAUUCGUAGAUAUCGGGAGGAACACCAGCGGCGAAGGCGACCGCCUGGACGGCUACUGACGCUGAGACGCGAAAGCGUGGGGAGCAAACAGGAUUAGAUACCCUGGUAGUCCACGCUGUAAACGAUGAGCGCUAGGUGUUGUGGGUGUUGACCCCCGCAGUGCCGCAGCUAACGCAUUAAGCGCUCCGCCUGGGAAGUACGGCCGCAAGGCUAAA